CUUAAUUUUAAGAUGGCAGAUCAAGAGUCUUGCUUCUUCCCUGAUCUUUCCUCCAUUUCUCCCAAUUUUACCCUCAAUUCAUUGUCAGUCGCCCACAAAUAAGUCUUGAGCCGAUCAAAAAUGCUUAGAUGAUUCAAACCGUCAGCGCAAUUACUAAUUCAAUCAAUUAGGUUUCAUGUGGUCAUUGCCCUAUUCAAUGGUAUUGAAGGUGAUUGAAUGUUGCAGUUGAGGCGUUCGUGCGUUUCUAUCCUACCCAACCAAGCUUCCUGCGAAUUUUAGGUUAUAACAGGCAUUGAAGAUGAUUGAAUUUUUCAUGCGUCAAGCGCUGAUUACGCUCUUCUUCUACCAACGGUCAUUGAGUAAUUGAAGACGAUCACGUGGUGAACACAGAGAAUAGCAUGAUUGCACAAUAUCGUAUCGUACCGGUUCCGUAGGAACUAGGAAGCAACCAUUUUGAAGGGUAAGUCAACCAUCUACUUCUAAUCAGAUUGCAAAAAUGGCUUGUAUGGAAUUGGGAUCCAAAGCAGAUGCGUUUCAGAAAAAAGGCCAAGCUUGGUAUGUUCUUUAAUCUCUGGUAAACUUGUUAUGCGUUCUGGUCUGUUGAGUACAUAUUGAUAUAACUAAUUGUAUAUGUGUAUGUGUGUGUAAUGUGCAUAUGCAACAUGAUGGAGUAUGAUGCUGUGACUUUUGUGGUUAUGAAUUUCUUGAUGAUAUGUGGAUUUUAGCUGGUUAUCUUUAUCCAAUAUAGUUUCAUUUGCUUUCAAGAAGUGGGGUUAUGGAAAAAAUGAUAGCAGAUGCAUCUGAGAAAACAGAAUUGGGAUGCAACUUGAUCAGGCAACCCUUGAAGAUUUAUUAAUGCCGAAUUUUUCUUAUUCGAUGGAAACGUUGUAUAAUUUUGAAUGCGUGCUGAGGAUGGUUCAACAUUUUAUGGCUAUUGAUCAAGCAACAGCUAAUUGACAGUUACUUGGUGGAAGUUGCACCCGAUGUUAAUUUAAAGCUUACAAAGUUCAUGGCUCUUGCUGAGGCUGUUCCCGAGUAAGCUAGACCGAUGGAUGAUGGCUUGUAUUGUAUCAACCAGUUCUAAUAUGUUUCCUCUUUCUUGUAAAACAUAUGCCAACACAGCAAACAAUCAUGUUACAGUUUUGACUUUUUGGGUCAAAGAAUGCUUGUAUUGUGUUGGCAUUUAUUUUAAAAGGUAUAAUACAGUUCACUGAAGGGGUGUUUGAAUGUGUGUUUUAGAAGUGAUUAUGUGAAUCCAAAACUCCCCAAAAAGUUAAAAUGUUUGUUAAAG
rnacentral:lncRNA from 1 species